UACAGAGGGUGCGAGCGUUGUUCGGAAUUACUGGGCGUAAAGGGCGCGUAGGCGGCCUUCUAAGUCAGACGUGAAAUCCCCCGGCUUAACCUGGGAACUGCGUCUGAUACUGGGAGGCUUGAGUAUGGGAGAGGGAUGUAGAAUUCCAGGUGUAGCGGUGAAAUGCGUAGAUAUCUGGAGGAAUACCGGUGGCGAAGGCGGCAUCCUGGACCAUAACUGACGCUGAGGCGCGAAAGCUAGGGGAGCAAACGGG
rnacentral:rRNA from 1 species